rnacentral:rRNA from 1 species
CCUACGGGAGGCAGCAGUGGGGAAUAUUGCACAAUGGGGGAAACCCUGAUGCAGCGACGCCGCGUGAGUGAAGAAGUAUUUCGGUAUGUAAAGCUCUAUCAGCAGGGAAGAAACCCACCCUCCGGGGUGGCUGACGGUACCUGACUAAGAAGCCCCGGCUAACUACGUGCCAGCAGCCGCGGUAAUACGUAGGGGGCAAGCGUUAUCCGGAUUUACUGGGUGUAAAGGGAGCGUAGGUGGCAAGGCAAGUCAGAUGUGAAAACCCGGGGCCCAACCCCGGGAGUGCAUUUGAAACUGCAUGGCUGGAGUGCGGGAGGGGCAGGCGGAAUUCCUGGUGUAGCGGUGAAAUGCGUAGAUAUCAGGAGGAACACCGGCGGCGAAGGCGGCCUGCUGGACCGCGACUGACGUUGAGGCUCGAAAGCGUGGGGAGCGAACAGGAUUAGAUACCCCAGUAGUC